AGAGUUUGAUCAUGGCUCAGAACGAACGCUGGCGGCAGGCCUAACACAUGCAAGUCGAGCGCCCCGCAAGGGGAGCGGCGGACGGGUGAGUAACACGUGGGAAUUUUCCUCAAGGUACGGAACAACUCAGGGAAACUUGGGCUAAUACCGUAUGAUGCAGAGAUGCCAAAGAUUUAUCGCCUUGGGAUAAGCCCGCGUCAGAUUAGGUAGUUGGUGAGGUAAUGGCCUACCAAGCCUGUGAUCUGUAGCUGGUCUGAGAGGACGAUCAGCCACAUUGGGACUGAGACACGGCCCAAACUCCUACGGGAGGCAGCAGUGGGGAAUCUUGCGCAAUGGGCGAAAGCCUGACGCAGCCAUGCCGCGUGAAUGAUGAAGGUCUUAGGAUUGUAAAGUUCUUUCGCCCGUGACGAUGAUGACGGUAACGGGAGAAGAAGCCCCGGCUAACUUCGUGCCAGCAGCCGCGGUAAUACGAAGGGGGCUAGCGUUGUUCGGAAUUACUGGGCGUAAAGCGCGCGUAGGCGGUUUUGCAAGCCAGAGGUGAAAUGCCCGAGCUCAACUUGGGAAUUGCCUUUGGGACUGUGAGGCUUUGAGGACGAGAGAGGUGAGUGGAAUUCCCAGUGUAGAGGUGAAAUUCGUAGAUAUUGGGAAGAACACCGGUGGCGAAGGCGGCUCACUGGCUCGUUUCUGACGCUAAAGCGCGAAAGCGUGGGGAUCAACAGGAUUAGAUACCCUGGUAGUCCACGCUGUAAACGAUGAGUGCUAGGCGUCGGCAGGCUUGCCUGUCGGUGCCGCAGCUAACG
rnacentral:rRNA from 1 species